rnacentral:rRNA from 1 species
AGUAGGGAAUCUUCCGCAAUGGGCGAAAGCCUGACGGAGCAAUGCCGCGUGAGUGAUGAAGGUUUUCGGAUCGUAAAACUCUGUUAUAAGAGAAGAACAAAUUGUAGAGUAACUGCUACAGUCUUGACGGUAUCUGAUCCAGAAAGCCACGGCUAACUACGUGCCAGCAGCCGCGGUAAUACG